rnacentral:misc_RNA from 1 species
GCUUGAAAUUCUGGCGAUUUUUUACUCUGAUUUCAUGGAGGAUAAGUGGGAUGCAAGUAAGGACAUCUAUCAAAGUCUUAAAACUUUGAGUUUGUCAUAUAUCAAAUUAUCAGAAUGGGAAGUUGAUAGGAGCGAAACUUUUCCCAAGCUUGAGGAAUUAAUACUAGAACGUUGUUACAAGCUUACGGAGAUCCCUUCUGCAUUCGAGGAUAUAGAAACUUUAAAGACCAUUCAUUUAACUAAUAUUAAGCGUGAGCUUGGA